rnacentral:rRNA from 1 species
AUUGAACGCUGGCGGCAUGCCUUACACAUGCAAGUCGAACGGCAGCACGGGAGCAAUCCUGGUGGCGAGUGGCGAACGGGUGAGUAAUAUAUCGGAACGUGCCCAGUCGUGGGGGAUAACGUAGCGAAAGCUACGCUAAUACCGCAUACGAUCUAUGGAUGAAAGCGGGGGGAUCGCAAGACCUCGCGCGAUUGGAGCGGCCGAUAUCAGAUUAGGUAGUUGGUGAGGUAAAGGCUCACCAAGCCGACGAUCUGUAGCUGGUCUGAGAGGACGACCAGCCACACUGGGACUGAGACACGGCCCAGACUCCUACGGGAGGCAGCAGUGGGGAAUUUUGGACAAUGGGCGCAAGCCUGAUCC